rnacentral:rRNA from 1 species
CCUACGGGGGGCAGCAGUGGGGGAUAUUGGACAAUGGGGGGAACCCUGAUCCAGCGACGCCGCGUGAGUGAAGAAGUAUUUCGGUAUGUAAAGCUCUGUCAGCAGGGAAGAAAGAAAUGACGGUACCUGACCAAGAAGCCCCGGCUAACUACGUGCCAGCAGCCGCGGUAAUACGUAGGGGGCAAGCGUUAUCCGGAAUUACUGGGUGUAAAGGGGGCGUAGACGGUUAAGUAAGUCUGGAGUGAAAGGCGGGGGCCCAACCCCGGGACUGCUCUGGAAACUAUUGAACUUGAGUGCAGGAGAGGUAAGCGGAAUGCGUAGUGUAGCGGUGAAAUGCGUAGAUAUUAGGAGGAACACCAGUGGCGAAGGCGGCUUACGGGACUGUAACUGACGUUGAGGCACGAAAGCGUGGGGAUCGAACAGGAUUAGAUACCCGUGUAGUC